AAUGAACGUUGGCGGCAUGGAUUAGGCAUGCAAGUCGAGCGAGAAGAGCUUUGAAGCUUGCUUUAGAACUCGGACAGCGGCGAAAGGGAGAGUAACGCGUAGUUAUGUGCCCUAGGGUCCGGAAUAGCCACGGGAAACUGUGGGUAAUGCCGGAUAAUAUCCCCGGAUCAAAGGUGUGAUUCCGCCCUAGGAGCAGACUGCGUCCUACUAGCUAGUUGGUGGGGUAAUGGCCUACCAAGGCAACGAGGGGUACGGGGCGUGAGAGCAUGACCCGCCGAACCGGGACUGCGACACUGCCCAGACACCUACGGGUGGCUGCAGUCGAGAAUCUUCGGCAAUGGGCGAAAGCCUGACCGAGCGAUGCCGCGUGCGGGAUGAAGGCCCUCGGGUUGUAAACCGCUGUCGUAGGGGAGGAAGGUUCCGUGAAGAGCGGAAUUUGACCUAUCCUAGGAGGAAGUACGGGCUAAGUUCGUGCCAGCAGCCGCCGUAA
rnacentral:rRNA from 1 species